rnacentral:rRNA from 1 species
UACGUAGGGUGCGAGCGUUGUCCGGAAUUACUGGGCGUAAAGCGCACGUAGGUGGUUUUCUAAGUCAGCUGUGAAAUCCCCGGGCUCAACCUGGGACUUGCAGUUGAAACUGGAAAGCUAGAGUAGGGUAGAGGGGUGUGGAAUUCCAGGUGUAGCGGUGAAAUGCGUAGAUAUCGGGAAGAACACCCGUGGCGAAGGCGGCUCUCUGGGACGGUACUGACGCUGAGACGCGAAAGCGUGGGGAGCGAACAGGA